rnacentral:lncRNA from 1 species
AUACAUUUCAUGGUUAUUUAGGGUUUGAAUAGGUUUUUUUAUAUGAGGUUAAGAUUUUCUUUUAUAUUUAUAUUGACUUGGGUAUGUUUAGAUGGUGAGUUUUUGAUGAUAUUGGUCCAUUGUUUUGGAAUAGCUUUCUUCAGUUUUGUUAGCUCAGCUAUCCAGUUUUCCUUAUUUUUUAGUUUACUUAGUAUGAUGUCUAAGGAUAUGUUUUCAUCUUUAUCUAAUAAAUCAUUUAUAACCAGAAUAUUGCUUUGUAUCCAGUUUUUAACAGUAAACAUUUAUUGUUGAUGUUAAUAUAUUUAUUGCCCCAUAUUAUUUGUUUCAUAAUUUCCCAAAACAAGAUAGGCUUUUGUUUAGUUUUCUCUUUU